UGGACUCACAGGUCCCUACAACAGGGCUCCAGUCCCUUCCAGGGGGACCAAGCAGCUAGUCCACUGGAAACACCCAGUUUACUAUUUCAGUUCUGUCCCUGGGUGUGGGGCAGUUGCAGUUGAUGUGCGGCCACAGGGCCACUGCCUUAUCACUUGCCAGGACUCUCCCGGCUUGUAACAACUGGGGAUAAAAGGAAGCUACCACGGCAAAAGGCAGCAAACUCCCCAGGUGGAGUAGGAGGCUCCAGACUGGGUGAGUCAGCCCUCACAUUCCUGAGCAGUCCCUUGUGAUUUAAGAGCACUGAUUUUUUUUCCUGUUCCUUGGUUUUGGGAUUGGGAAAUGAAAGACAUGUCUGUCUGUCUGUCUGCCUGUCUCUCUCCUUUUGCAGAACCAGAGGUCAAGCUCAGGACCCUGCCACCUGCAAGGCAGGCACGGCACCACUGAGCUAAGUCCUCUGCCCCAAGAAUAUGUUUAGAGAAAUUUAAAAGCUUUGCUAAUUUGGACCUCAUAAUAUCCGACCCUUUAGCUUUUGACAGUUCCACCAGCAUCUCUGUAUGUAACUGUUGCUCACGGAAUCCUGUUUGCCUCAUAUUUCACACCUGGUGUUAUUCCAAUCUGCCUCCUCCCAAACUUACUCAUGUGCAUGCUCUCAGUUGGAGGCAUCUCUCACCCUUUAUCCUUUUUAUUUUGUCUGGCUUUCUCUUCUUUUUUCUUGUUCUCCUACGCCACAUGCCCCACAUUGGGUGCCAACUGCCACAGCCUGUGUGGCUGAAGGGUUCAUGGAGUGAGAAACGAUGGUGAGAGAUUAAGAAACUUAAAAGAAUAAGACAAAAAAGACAAAGAUGACAGUAAAGUUAAUAUAACUGAGGCCGGGUAGAAACUGUCCUGAUGAGACUAAAAGCUUGGUUUGCAUCCUCAGCACCUUUAUUUAUAGCAUAGAUAAGGAAACUGAGAGGGGAUGCCUGAUUGGAACAGGGAGAAUGGCUAGGGUCUGCAGCAGAUAAGAUAAUGCUUGAUGUUUCUCUGGUGAAUGGGUGGGAAGGAAGAUAGUCCUCUUUUUGGCCAGGCCUUGCUCUACCAUGCUCCCUACAAGAGGAGAUGAGUUAGGACUGGCCACAGUCAUCUACAGCACAUGUCUCCCAGCAAGUAUCCCAAGGACCCACAGUGCAUGGUUGGGUCCCAGGUACUGGAGUUCCCUUUGAUCCUCAGGAACUGACAGGUAGAGAGAGAGCCUUGAUCCCUAGGAGUGAAGAAUGGAAACUGAAGCAUGGUGCUGGUGUCCAAGAGCUGUUGCUCAUGGCUAUGUUCUGAGAGCUUAGAAGACCUGGGCAGCGCAGUGGAAGCUGUUUUUCUACGAAGCACUGAAAUCUUUUGCCUAAUAUUUCUGACCAGUGGCUACUGUUCCCGGAAAGAGGCAGAGCUUAAGAUCCUGAAAGGGCAAAAGGACCUUCAUGGGAAGGGACUUUAGGGCUGGAGGAAAAUGGGACAGCAGGUGACCCUCCAAGGCCACCCCUAAGGACUCAACUUGUGAUGAACUCCCCAUUCACUUGUGUGCUUUAAUGGGAAGUUGGUGUCAGGUCACACAAGCUCCUGAGCCUUUGAUGGAUCAUGCAGCCACCACCUGCUUUGGACAACGAAGACAAGCACCACCCCGUAAGAUGGUAACACUGUGACCUUUAUGGAUUUUGUGGAGAAGAGUUGCUCUAUCAUUCAAGAGCAGACGUUGACACUUGCUGGCUGUGUGAUACUGGGCAGGUUACUUAAUCUUGUUGGAUCUUUGUUUUUUAACCUGUGAAACUGGUUUCAAUACUAGUUAUUACACAGCCUUACUAUGCAGAUAAAACAAGAAGAUGCACAUAUAAGGGCUUAGCAAAUGCAUGCAAACAAAAGAGGUUCAAUAAAUAUUGGUAAAUUUGCCUUUAAUGAAAACUCCAAACUUCUAUAAUUCUGCAGAGAAAAUGUGCAGCCUAUAUUUGUUUUCACCACGGGAAAAAUAACCUCUUAGAUUUGCAGUUGGUAAAGUACUUUGAUGUUCAUGAUCAUAUUUAAUCCAUGCAACAUCUCUGUGAGGAAGGUGGUGUCUCUUCGUGACCAUUCUUUUUAUUACUGGAAAAGGAGCUACAAAUCAGGAAAUAAGUAGCAGGAGCAGAAGCAGAAGCAUAUUUACCUACCUAGUAAACUAAGUCUGUUACCCAACCUCCACAGAAGAAAGAUAGGAAAUCAAAUAGACUUACUGGGAAAUAUUGUUAUGUUUUCUAUUUAAAUGACUGAAAAAAUGACCCAUGGUAAAAUAUGACAUCUGCCCCAGAGAGCAGAUUACAUCAGGGGCAAGUGUGCAAAUUACUCUUCGAGGAGACUCGCUGCACAAUCAGGAUCAGGCAGCUGAAGGACUUCUUGGGAUGUAAAAAUGAUGUGUGAAGUUUACAGGAAAACCCCAAAGCAUCUGUCAUGCUUGCUGUCAAGAUGUCCAGGUGGCUACAGGUCCCUCUUUCUAGUUGAAAACAUAGGUGAAAGGAAAUGGAGAAACUAGACACUGUGAUUUGCAGCCAUGAAUGAAGAAAAGCACAAGUCUCUUACCGUAUGAGGAAAGGGGUGGCCUGUUCCAGAUCAUAGAGAGAUGCUAGCAUCAGAAGGAGGCAGAGCAGAGCUCCUCGGGGUGCCAGACUGACAAGCAGAGCAAGGACCAACACGUUGGACAUGCACUGUUUGAGAGAUGCUCACCAAUUAAUAUGGAGUGAAAGAUUGCAAUUGUGUUAUGGUUUAGAUCUAGAAUGUCCCCCAAAGACUCAUGCAAUCAGAGGUGGCACUUUUGGAAGGUAAUUGGAUCAUGGGGUACUUUAUGCAGCUAUCAGUGCAGUCAGGAAGGGGGGCCUGGUAAGAAGAGGCAGGUUGCUGGGGGAGUGACUUGGAAGUGUGAAUCACCCUUCCUGGCUCCUCCUUUCUCCCUCUGCUUCCUGGCCCUGUGAUGUGAGCUGCUUUCUUCCUCCCAGACCUUUCUGCCUUGCCAUUUUGGUUUUUUAAGCUUGCCAAACACAGAUUGAAACUUCUGAGCUGCGAGCCAAAAUAAA